GAUGAACGCUGGCGGCGUGCCUAACACAUGCAAGUCGAGCGAGAAAUAAAAGGACAAAGCUUCGGUGGCGUACUUUUAUGGAAAGCGGCGGACGGGUGAGUAACGCGUAGGCAACCUGCCCCAUACAGAGGGAUAGCCUCGGGAAACCGGGAUUAAUACCUCAUAAAGCAAUUGCAUUGCAUGAUGUAGUUGCCAAAGAUUUAUCGGUAUGGGAUGGGCCUGCGUCUGAUUAGCUGGUUGGUGAGGUAACGGCUCACCAAGGCAACGAUCAGUAGCCGACCUGAGAGGGUGAUCGGCCACAUUGGAACUGAGACACGGUCCAAACUCCUACGGGAGGCAGCAGUGGGGAAUAUUGCACAAUGGGCGCAAGCCUGAUGCAGCAACGCCGCGUGAGCGAGGAAGGCCUUUGGGUCGUAAAGCUCUGUCCUUGGGGAAGAAACAAAUGACGGUACCCAUGGAGGAAGCCCCGGCUAACUACGUGCCAGCCGCCGCCGUAAUAC
rnacentral:rRNA from 1 species